UGCACACCCAUGUGUGUAGGACCCCAAAGGAUCACCAUUAAAUUUAGCAUAGAUCUCUAGAAAAGUUAUCACAUGGGUGUGGGACUUGACUUUUCUUGAUAUCUGUACCAAAUUUAUUGGUGAUCAUUUGGGGUCCUACACACAUAGGUGUGGG
rnacentral:pre_miRNA from 1 species